rnacentral:rRNA from 1 species
UACCAGCACCCCGAGUGGUCGGGACGAUUAUUGGGCCUAAAGCAUCCGUAGCCGGUUCUACAAGUCUUCCGUUAAAUCCACCUGCUUAACAGAUGGGCUGCAGAGGAUACUAUAGAGCUAGGAGGCGGGAGAGGCAAGCGGUACUUAGUGGGUAGGGGUAAAAUCCGUUGAUCCACUGAAGACCACCAGUGGCGAAGGCGGCUUGCCAGAACGCGCUCGACGGUGAGGGAUGAAAGCUGGGGGAGCAAAC